GGCUCCGUAGCUUGGAGGAAAAAAGCGCCCAUCUAGCGAAUUGGGAGUCAUGGGUUCGAUCCCCAGCGGAGCGC
rnacentral:tRNA from 1 species